ensembl:snRNA Gm22507 U1 spliceosomal RNA
AUCCAUACCUGGCAGGGGAAGAUAGCAUGAUGGAGAAGACGCUUUCAUGGUGCGAGCUCAUCAAUAUACUUGGGAUGUAUUGGCACCUUUGUCUUCCCCAAAUGGGAGAAACCUGCUGCAUAAUUAGUGAUGGUAGGGGCUGUGCUUGUGGUCUCCUCUGU